rnacentral:rRNA from 1 species
AUUGAACGCUGGCGGCAGGCCUAACACAUGCAAGUCGAGCGAGUGGCGGACGGGUGAGUAAUGUAUGGGGAACUGCCUGAUAGAGGGGGAUAACUACUGGAAACGGUGGCUAAUACCGCAUACUAUCGGAUGAACCCAGAUGGGAUUAGCUAGUAGGUGGGGUAAAGGCUCACCUAGGCGACGAUCCCUAGCUGGUCUGAGAGGAUGAUCAGCCACACUGGAACUGAGAAACGGCCCAGACUCCUACGGGAGGCAGCAGUGGGGAAUAUUGCACAAUGGGCGCAAGCCUGAUACAGCCAUGCCGCGUGUAUGAAGAAGGCCUUAGGGUUGUAAAGUACUUUCAGCGGGGAGGCGUUACCAGCAGAAUAAGCACCGGCUAACUCCGUGCCAGCAGCCGCGGUAAUUC